rnacentral:rRNA from 1 species
AGGUAGUGACAAGAAAUAACAAUACGGGGCUUAAUGUCUUGUAAUUGGAAUGAUGGGAAUUUAAACCUCUUCCAGAGUAUCAAUUGGAGGGCAAGUCUGGUGCCAGCAGCCGCGGUAAUUCCAGCUCCAAUAGCGUAUAUUAAAAUUGUUGCAGUUAAAAAGCUCGUAGUUGAAUUUCUGCUGCAUCGUCGCAUCUCUUGCUGAGUGCUUCGUUUCGGCUUAUUUCGGAUUGAUUUUUUCUUUCCGGAUGAUUACUUUGAGAAAAUUAGAGUGCUCAAAGCAGGCUUUUGCCUUGAAUAGUUUAGCAUGGAAUAAUAAAGUAGGACUUUGGUUCUAUUUUGUUGGUUUUAGGUACCAAAGUAAUGGUUAAUAGGAACA